rnacentral:rRNA from 1 species
GACGAACGCUGGCGGCGUGCUUAACACAUGCAAGUCGAACGGUAAGGCCCUUCGGGGUACACGAGUGGCGAACGGGUGAGUAACACGUGGGUGAUCUGCCCUGCACUUCGGGAUAAGCCUGGGAAACUGGGUCUAAUACCGGAUAGGACCACUGCCUGCAUGGGUGGUGGUGGAAAGCGUUUGCGGUGUGGGAUGGGCCCGCGGCCUAUCAGCUUGUUGGGGGGGUGAUGGCCUACCAAGGCGAUGACGGGUAGCCGGCCUGAGAGGGGGACCGUCCACACUGGGACUGAGAAACGGCCCGGACUCCUAGGGGGGGCAGCAGUGGGUAAUAUUGCACAAUGGGCGCAAGCCUGAUGCAGCGACGCCGCGGUAGGGAUGACGGCCUUCGUGUUGUGAACCUCUUUCAGCACCGAGGAAGCGCAAGUGACGGUAGGUGCAGAAGAAGGACCGACCAACUACGUGCCAGCCGCCGCAGUAA